rnacentral:sRNA from 1 species
CUUCGCAGUUGUCCCGGGUUGCAGGAAAGGGCAAAACACAGAAUCACAGGCUCUUCCCAAAUGAGAGGAGAAGGCCCUGCUUGAGGAAGUAGAGACUUGG